rnacentral:rRNA from 1 species
UACGAAGGGGGCUAGCGUUAUUCGGAAUUACUGGGCGUAAAGCGCACGUAGGCGGCUUUGUAAGUUAGAGGUGAAAGCCUGGAGCUCAACUCCAGAACUGCCUUUAAGACUGCAUCGCUUGAAUCCAGGAGAGGUGAGUGGAAUUCCGAGUGUAGAGGUGAAAUUCGUAGAUAUUCGGAAGAACACCAGUGGCGAAGGCGGCUCACUGGACUGGUAUUGACGCUGAG